ACCCCCGUGAGAAUGCCCCACAACUCUCCACCCGAGAACGAGGAGCUGAUAUCAGGCACAUCCACGAGAUAAGCCCACAACAUCUUGCUCAGCCACACCCCCAAGGGAAUUCAGCAGUGAUAAACAUUAAGCUAUAAGUGAAAACUUGACUUAGUCAAGGCUAAUUGUUAGGGCCGGUAAAACUCGUGCCAGCCACCGCGGUUAUACGAGUAGACCCAAGUUGACAGACUACGGCGUAAAGAGUGGUUAGGAGAAAAAUAUUAAACUAAAGUCGAAAAUCUUCAAGACUGUAAUACGUUCCCGAAGAUAUGAAGCCCCACCACGAAAGUGACUUUAACCCAAUCUGAAUCCACGAAAGCUGAGGCACAAACUGGGAUUUGAUACCCCACUAUGCUCAGCCAUAAACUUUGAUAGUAAACUACACCCACUAUCCGCCUGGGAACUACGAGCAUCAGCUUAAAACCCAAAGGACUUGGCGGUGCUUAAGAUCCAUCUAGAGGAGCCUGUUCUAGAACCGAUAAUCCCCGUUAAACCUCACCCCCUUUUGCCCCUUUCCGCCUAUAUACCGCCGUCGUCAGCUUACCCUGUAAGGGAUCAAUAGUAGGCUCAAUCAGUAAUACUCAAAACGCCAGGUCGAGGUGUAGCUAACAAGGGGGGAAGAAAUGGGCUACAUUCCCUAAAUCAGGGAACACGAACAAUAUGAUGAAACGCAUAUUAGAAGGAGGAUUUAGCAGUAAGCAGAAAAUAGAGUGUUCUGCUGAAGCAGGCCCUGAAGCGCGUACACACCGCCCGUCACUCUCCCCGAAUAAAUAUAAACAUAAUAACUAAUGCCUUAUGAAAAAAAUAGGGGAGGCAAGUCGUAACAUGGUAAGUGUACCGGAAGGUGCACUUGGAUAAAU
rnacentral:ncRNA from 1 species